GGAAGAGGCAGGAGUGGCCCAAGUGUUCUCGCGCCGUGGUAGUUUGUGUAAGAUAGCGUAGCUUAUUAGUCGUGUGUGCAAAAGUUAAACGGUGUGUUAUCGUGUGUGCUGGUGGUUGAUAACGACAGAUCCGUGACCACGCCGCUACGACGCCCGACAACCCACACCGAACCAUCGAGGCCAUUCUUG